GAUGAACGCUGGCGGCGUGCCUAAUACAUGCAAGUCGAGCGAAUGGAUUGAGAGCUUGCUCUUAUGAAGUUAGCGGCGGACGGGUGAGUAACACGUGGGUAACCUGCCCAUAAGACUGGGAUAACUCCGGGAAACCGGGGCUAAUACCGGAUAACAUUUUGAACCGCAUGGCUCGAAAUUGAAAGGCGGCCUCGGCUGUCACUUAUGUAUGGCCCCGCGUCGCAUUAGCUCGUUGGUGGGGUAACGGCUCACCAAGGCAACGAUGCGUAGCCGACCUGAGAGGGUGAUCGGCCACACUGGGACUGAGACACGGCCCAGGCUCCUACGGGAGGCAGCAGUAGGGAAUCUUCCGCAAUGGACGAAAGUCUGACGGAGCAACGCCGCGUGAGUGAUGAAGGCUUUCGGGUCGUAAAACUCUGUUGUUAGGGAAGAACAAGUGCUAGUUGAAUAAGCUGGCACCUUGACGGUACCUAACCAGAAAGCCACGGCUAACUACGUGCCAGCAGCCGCAGUAA
rnacentral:rRNA from 1 species